GUNCCUNCGGNGGCUNCANUGNUAGUCCGAGCUGGAUGANUGGAGCUUGCUCCAUGAUUCAGCGGCGGACGGGUGAGUAANGCCUAGGAAUCUGCCUGGUANUGGGGGACAACGUUUCGAAAAGGAACCGCUAAUACCCGCAUACCGUCCUACGGGAGAAAGUGGGGGAUCUUCGCACCUCACGCUAUCAGAUGAGCCUAGGUCGGAUUAGCUAGUUGGUGAGGUAAAGGCUCACCAAGGCGACGAUCCGUAACUGGUCUGAGAGGAUGAUCAGUCACACUGGAACUGAGACACGGUCCAGACUCCUACGGGAGGCAGCAGUGGGGAAUAUUGGACAAUGGGCGAAAGCCUGAUCCAGCCAUGCCGCGGUGUGUGAAGAAGGUCUUCCGGAUUGUAAAGCACUUUUAAGUUGGGAGGAAGGGCAGUAAGUUAAUACCUUGCUGUUUUGACGUACCGACAGAAUAAGCACCGCGCUNAACUUCGUGCCAGCAGCCGCGGUAAUACGAAGGGUGCAAGCGUUAAUCGGAAUUACUGGGGCGUAAAGCGCGCGUAGGUUGGUUCGUUAAGUUGGAUGUGAAAGCCCCGGGGCUCAACUGGGAACUGCUCCAA
rnacentral:rRNA from 1 species